UGGAGAAUUUUGGACAAUGGGCGCAAGCCUGAUCCAGCAAUGCCGCGUGCAGGAUGAAGGCCUUCGGGUUGUAAACUGCUUUUGUACGGAACGAAAAGCUUCUGGUUAAUACCUGGGAGUCAUGACGGUACCGUAAGAAUAAGCACCGGCAAACUACGUGCCAGCAGCCGCGGUAAUACGUAGGGUGCGAGCGUUAAUCGGAAUUACUGGGCGUAAAGCGUGCGCAGGCGGUUAUGUAAGACAGAGGUGAAAUCCCCGGGCUCAACCUGGGAACUGCCUUUGUGACUGCAUGGCUAGAGUGCGGCAGAGGGGGAUGGAAUUCCGCGUGUAGCAGUGAAAUGCGUAGAUAUGCGGAGGAACACCGAUGGCGAAGGCAAUCCUCUGGGCCUGCACUGACGCUCAUGCACGAAAGCGUGGGGAGCAAACA
rnacentral:rRNA from 1 species